GGGUAGACCUCCCACCCUUGUGUAUUAUUACUUUGUUGCUUUGGCGAGCUGCCUUCGGGCCUUGUAUGCUCGCCAGAGAAUACCAAAACUCUUUUUAUUAAUGUCGUCUGAGUACUAUAUAAUAGUUAAAACUUUCAACAACGGAUCUCUUGGUUCUGGCAUCGAUGAAGAACGCAGCGAAAUGCGAUAAGUAAUGUGAAUUGCAGAAUUCAGUGAAUCAUCGAAUCUUUGAACGCACAUUGCGCCCCUUGGUAUUCCGGGGGGCAUGCCUGUUCGAGCGUCAUUUCAACCCUCAAGCUUAGCUUGGUAUUGAGUCUAUGUCAGUAAUGGCAGGCUCUAAAAUCAGUGGCGGCGCCGCUGGGUCCUGAACGUAGUAAUAUCUCUCGUUACAGGUUCUCGGUGUGCUUCUGCCAAAACCCAAAUUUUUCUAUGGUUGACCUCGGAUCAGGUAGGGAUACCCGCUGAACUUAAGCAUAUCAAUAGCGGAGGAANNAUCAUUACAGAGUUCAUGCCCGAAAGGGUAGACCUCCCACCCUUGUGUAUUAUUACUUUGUUGCUUUGGCGAGCUGCCUUCGGGCCUUGUAUGCUCGCCAGAGAAUACCAAAACUCUUUUUAUUAAUGUC
rnacentral:rRNA from 1 species